rnacentral:rRNA from 1 species
CCUACGGUCGGCUGCAGUGGGGAAUAUUGCACAAUGGGGGAAACCCUGAUGCAGCGACGCCGCGUGAGUGAAGAAGUAUUUCGGUACGUAAAGCUCUAUCAGCAGGGAAGAAAAAAAGUCCUUUGGACUUUGGACGGUACCUGACUAAGAAGCCCCGGCUAACUACGUGCCAGCAGCCGCGGUAAUACGUAGGGGGCGAGCGUUAUCCGGAUUCACUGGGUGUAAAGGGAGCGUAGACGGCCAUGCAAGCCAGGGGUGAAAGCCCGGGGCCCAACCCCGGGACUGCCCUUGGAACUGCAUGGCUGGAGUGCGGGAGGGGCAGGCGGAAUUCCUGGUGUAGCGGUGAAAUGCGUAGAUAUCAGGAGGAACACCGGCGGCGAAGGCGGCCUGCUGGACCGCGACUGACGUUGAGGCUCGAAAGCGUGGGGAGCGAACAGGAUUAGAUACCCUUGUAGUC